UCAAUGACCACGGUUGGGACUCUGUCCCUU
rnacentral:sRNA from 1 species